rnacentral:rRNA from 1 species
GGGGGAAAAUUAAUAAAAUAUAAAUAAAAAAAAAAUUUGACAUAAAAAAUAUUUAAUGGGGGUUAAAGUAUUUUUAAAUGAAAAAAUUUUAUUAUUUAUAGUAUAAUAGUAUUGAGAAAGAAUUUUGAAAAAUAUUAAAGAAUAAUUAAUUUAAAAGUAAAUUUAAUUUAUUGUAUCUUGUGUAUCAGAGUUUAUUAAAUAAAAAUUUUUAGGAAGAAAUAUCUCGAAUUUAAAAGAGUUAAUUAAUUAAUAAAUAUAAUGUUGUAUAAUUAUUUUAAAUAAUUAAUUUGAAAUGAAAUGUUAAUCGUUUUUAAAUAUAUCUAGUUUUUUUAGAAAAAAAUUUAAUUUUAAAUUAAUUUAAAAUAAUUAUUUAAUAGAAAUAAUAAAUAUUUUUUUUUAAUUCAAUAUUUUAAGGGAUAAGCUUUAAAUUAAAUUAUUAUAAUAAAAUAAAAUUUUAUUUGAAAUUUUUAAAAUUUAUAUUUUUUAAAAAUUAUAGUUUUUUAUAAAUAAUUUCGUUAAAAUUAAAAUUUUAAAAAAAUUUAAUUUUUUUAAAAAAAAAUAAUUUAAAAUGAUAAAAAAUUAGAAAUAAUGAUAAAAUUAGUAUAUUUUUUUUUUAUAAAAAAAAAUAAAAUUAAUGAAAAUUAAUUAAAAGGAAUUCGGCAAAAAUUUAUAUUCACUUGUUUAUCAAAAACAUGUCUUUUAGAUAAAUAAUUUAAAGUCUAAUCUGCCCACUGAAUUUUAUUUAAAGGGCUGCAGUAUAUUGACUGUACAAAGGUAGCAUAAUCAAUAGUCUUUUAAUUGAAGACUUGUAUGAAUGAUUUGAUGAGAUAUAAACUGUCUCUUUUUUAAUAAUGGAAUUUAAUUUUUUAGUUAAAAAGCUAAAAUAGAUAUAAAAGACGAGAAGACCCUAUAGAGUUUUAUAAUUAUUUUUAUUUAAAUUUUAUAUAAAAUUUAAAAUUUAUAUAAAAAUAAUUAUUUUGUUGGGGUGAUAAGAAAAUUAAAAAAACUUUUUUUUUAUUUUAACAUUAAUUUAUGAAUAAAUGAUCCAUAAUUUAUGAUUAAAGGAAUCAAUUACCUUAGGGAUAACAGCGUAAUUUUUUUUUUUAGUUCAAAUAAGAAUUAAAGUUUGCGACCUCGAUGUUGGAUUAAGAUAAAAUUUAAAUGCAACAAGUUUAAAUUUUUGAUCUGUUCGAUCAUCAAAAUCUUACAUGAUCUGAGUCUCAACACCGGUGUAAGCCAGGUUGCUUUCUAUCUUUAUAAAAAUAAAAUAAUUUAGUACGCAAGCCUCAGUUAUUUUAAAUAAUUUAAUACAAAGAAUAAUAAUACAUUUAAUAUUUAA